rnacentral:rRNA from 1 species
AGUCGAGGGGUAUUUGUAGCAAUACAGAGAGACCGGCGCACGGGUGAGUAACGCGUAUGCAACCUGCCCUUUACUGGGGAAUAGCCCGUAGAAAUGCGGAUUAAUACCCCAUAGUUCUGAGAAGCUGCAUGGUUUUUCAGAUAAAGUUUCGGCGGUAAAGGAUGGGCAUGCGUGACAUUAGCUUGUUGGUGAGGUAACGGCUCACCAAGACUGCGAUGUCUAGGGGUUCUGAGAGGAAGAUCCCCCACACUGGUACUGAGACACGGACCAGACUCCUACGGGAGGCAGCAGUGAGGAAUAUUGGUCAAUGGGCGAGAGCCUGAACCAGCCAUCCCGCGUGCAGGAAGAAUGCCCUAUGGGUUGUAAACUGCUUUUUCGCAUGAAGAACACCUUUGACGUGUCAGAGGCUGACGGUAAUGCGUGAAUAAGCACCGGCUAACUCCGUGCCAGCAGCCGCGGUAAUACGGAGGGUGCAAGCGUUAUCCGGAUUUAUUGGGUUUAAAGGGUGCGUAGGCGGCUAUUUAAGUCAGUGGUGAAAUCCUGCAGCUCAACUGUAGAACAGCCAUUGAAACUGAAUAGCUUGAGUAAUCUUGAGGUAGGCGGAAUGUGUAGUGUAGCGGUGAAAUGCUUAGAUAUUACACAGGACACCGAUUGCGAAGGCAGCUUACUAAGGAUUUACUGACGCUGAUGCACGAAAGCGUGGGGAUCAAACAGGAUUAGAUACCCUGGUAGUCCACGCCGUANACGAUGAUAACUCGCUGUUGNCGAUACACAGUCAGCGGCUUAGCGAAAGCGUUAAGU